CCUACGGGUGGCUGCAGUGAGGAAUAUUGCGCAAUGGAGGAAACUCUGACGCAGCCAUGCCGCGUGAAGGAUUAAGGCCCUAUGGGUUGUAAACUUCUUUUGUAUGGGAAUAAACGCUCUUACGUGUAAGAGCCUGAAGGUACCAUAAGAAUAAGCACCGGCUAACUCCGUGCCAGCAGCCGCGGUAAUACGGAGGGUGCAAGCGUUAUCCGGAUUUAUUGGGUUUAAAGGGUCCGUAGGCGGACUAUUAAGUCAGGGGUGAAAGCCCGCAGCUC
rnacentral:rRNA from 1 species